UACGUAGGGUGCGAGCGUUAAUCGGAAUUACUGGGCGUAAAGCGUGCGCAGGCGGUUUUGUAAGUCUGAUGUGAAAUCCCCGGGCUCAACCUGGGAAUUGCAUUGGAGACUGCAAGGCUAGAAUCUGGCAGAGGGGGGGUAGAAUUCCACGUGUAGCAGUGAAAUGCGUAGAGAUGUGGAGGAACACCGAUGGCGAAGGCAGGUCUCUGGGCAUUAACUGACGACUGAG
rnacentral:rRNA from 1 species